rnacentral:rRNA from 1 species
UACAGAGGGGGCAAGCGUUAUUCGGAAUUAUUGGGCGUAAAGGGCGCGUAGGCGGCUUGGCAAGUGGAAGGUGAAAUCCCUCGGCUUAACCGAGGAACUGCGUCUGAUACUGGAUGGCUUGAAUCCGGGAGAGGGAUGCGGAAUUCCAGGUGUAGCGGUGAAAUGCGUAGAUAUCUGGAGGAACACCGGUGGCGAAGGCGGCAUCCUGGACCAACACUGACGCUGAGGAGCGAAAGCCAGGGGAGCAAACGGG